rnacentral:misc_RNA from 1 species
AAAUAGGUGGAAAAUGGGGCAGAAUUGCAGUAAUGGGAUCUAGAAAUAUAUAAAAGAAGAGAACGCUAGAACAAUUCCAAAAAUGAAAAAGCCAUUUGUUUAGGGGCAAGAAAAAAUGCUAUGAAAAGUUGUUGGUUAAGACGGAAAAUGCAUGAUUACAACUAUCGAAUUGUUACUUCGAUAUAAAGUAAAACAUGAAAGGAUCUUAAAAACAAAUUCAAAUAAUUGAUGAUUCAGUUUCUUCUAAGCACUUUUUCAAGGGGUAUUUGUUGCAAAGUAACAGAAGAUCAUUAUUCUACAAUGCAUAGUCAGCAGUUUUCCUUCAUAGAAAAGUUUGGUCAGUUUCUCUUUGUUCAUUUCUUUCAAAUGAUAACAGUUCACAGUCUAAAUGACUAUGCAAAUAAUAGAGAUUUGGUUUUCUUCAGAAAACACAUACAUCAUGACAGAUACAGGAAGAUGCUCCUGCAAGACUACAAAUGAAAAAUAGAGAGCUACUAUUAUUUAGUGGGGACAAAGUAUCACAAACUUGAGGCGUGAACAAAGAAAGCACCUACACCCCACACCCACACGAGGGCUAUAGGCAUCGACUAAAUCACAAGGUUGCAUCUAGCAGGAAAGAUAUUGACAGGAAGUGGGCUCUCUUGAAAACCAUGCCUUAAAAGAAGAGCUUAAAAUGUUUUCAGGCUUCUAACCCCAUGGAUGGUCCAAAGAGAGAUGAAAGUUACUUGAGACGAUGGAUAUUUUCGGGAAACUAUCUAUUUCCUUAAAUUUAGUUUUUCAAAAGGAGGUUCAAGACGGGCAUCUUUCCGUAAAAUCUGCUUGGGUGGCUUAUCCAAUUUGUAUAUAAUAAUAAAAAACUUUUUGAAUUAUGAAAAUCCUUUACAGGCAUAAUCUUUCAUUAUUCAAGUUGCAAUUCCUG